rnacentral:rRNA from 1 species
UACGUAGGGCGCAAGCGUUGUCCGGAAUCAUUGGGCGUAAAGGGCUCGUAGGCGGUCCAUCGCGUCGGGAGUGAAACGCUGGGGCUUAACCCCAGUCCUGCUUUCGAUACGGGUGGACUAGAGGUAGGCAGGGGAGAAUGGAAUUCCUGGUGUAGCGGUGAAAUGCGCAGAUAUCAGGAGGAACACCGGUGGCGAAGGCGGUUCUCUGGGCCUAAUCUGACGCUGAGGAGCGAAAGCGUGGGGAGCAAACAGG